CUCAGCGUUUGGGCCUUAAGGAGACAGGCCUGCCCCUCUUCUGCCUGACCUUCUGCUGUCUACGUUCUGCAGGAUCUGUGUCAGGGCACAUGGAGCAGAACAAACAAAAAUGCAGACAGAGGGCCAAGCAACUCUGUACAUUAAAUGGAUCUUCACAAGAUACCAGACUGUAUACUGUCAAAAUGGUGAUCAAUUCCAACCACCAUAUUUAUUUGAAAACCAGCUUUUCCCAUAAGAAAGGUGUUCAAAUCACACUGGAAAUUCAAGAUACUUCAUUGUCUAUAUAACAAUACUUCUGAUUUUUCUUGUUUGUUGGAUCCCUGUUGUUUCUUCUUCUGUUGUAGUUCUUUUAAAUCUAUGGUGAACAGUUCUGUUUUGCAAUUUUUCAGUGCUAUGCCGCUCAUCUUCUGAUUUUCACAUGGGGAAAUUCAAUAGUUAAUCCUGGAAAUAGCAUGUGCACAAUUUGCUUUUGACAUGAAUUUCUAUUCUGUUCUUUUUUCAUUUACAUUAGGUUUUUCAUUUCCAGUUAAGCCAUGCAUGUGGCUGGCCAUGCACAUGAAAACAAUGAGCAAGCUUUUGUUUUGAUUUUUCAGCAUGCAGUUGUGUACAUGACUGCAUUGACAUUCCUUUUUGAUAAUGGAAAGAUCCCAAAUAGUUUCCUGCAUAUUAACUGCAGGCCCAGUGUGUACUGUUCCUCAUUUAUUUAAAGGUGCAGAGACCUUUUUUAAAAAAAUUAAAAAAUACAGAAAUA